rnacentral:sRNA from 1 species
CAGCAUUCUCUUUCACAGCUUUUAUUUUCCUCUGGUACUCUGUUCUUCUUGAACCUUAUUAUUACUGUGGACAAGGUUCAAGAAGAACAGAGUACCAGAGGAAAAUAAAAGCUGUGAAAGAGAAUGCUGA